UUUGACGAUUCGCGCCGAAAGAUAUCGGCUGGGAGUGAAAAUGGCGAUAUCAGCGUUGGAGAUCCGCUAUGUCCUACUUAUCAUCAAUCAAAUCCCUCAAAUGAAAAGUGACCUCGCCAUUAUUGCUCAAAAGACUGGAAGGAGUCCUGUGGAGGAUCUAGAUGUCUCCUUCUCGACUUUUGGAGAAGUGCAACCGACUCCAGAGAGGAGACCGAGCCCUUUAAAGAGAGUCCCAUGGUGACUGAGCGCUUUCGAGAGACACCACAGACUGCAGCAACAGCUGAGACCACAGCGAAAACACAG